rnacentral:rRNA from 1 species
CCUACGGGAGGCAGCAGUGGGGGAUAUUGUACAAUGGGGGGAACCCUGAUGCAGCGACGCCGCGUGGGUGAAGAAGCGCCUCGGCGCGUAAAGCCCUGUCAGCAGGGAAGAAAAUGACGGUACCUGAAGAAGAAGCCCCGGCUAACUACGUGCCAGCAGCCGCGGUAAUACGUAGGGGGCAAGCGUUAUCCGGAUUUACUGGGGGUAAAGGGGGCGCAGACGGCGAUGCAAGCCAGGAGGGAAAGCCCGGGGCCCAACCCCGGGACUGCUCUUGGAACUGCGUGGCUGGAGUGCAGGAGGGGCAGGCGGAAUUCCUGGUGUAGCGGUGAAAUGCGUAGAUAUCAGGAGGAACACCGGUGGCGAAGGCGGCCUGCUGGACUGCAACUGACGUUGAGGCCCGAAAGCGUGGGGAGCGAACAGGAUUAGAUACCCGGGUAGUC